UGACAGGAAAAAUUUCCCUUGUGUUUCCUUGCCCAGAAACUGAAGAAGGGGUGUGCAUGGAGCUCAUCCCAGGCUGAUGAUGCAGUUGACCUGAGAACAAGGCUGUGUAGGAACCACCCCAGGGGCUGCAGAAUCAGCCGUGCACAGAAUACUGCAUGACUAGGGUCUGCCGACACCGGUACAGUGAUUUUGUCAAAAUAUGGAAAUAUGUAGAAUUUUAGACAGAACAGUCAGCUUAAAGCCUUCGAAUCAAACGUGAAAGGUUUCUCCAGACUUGCGAGCUACAGUGCAGUGCCUUGGGCAUUUUUGAGGACAAGAUGUCCCAUGGGUCUACCUUGAUGGAGCCGAUCCAAUUCAUCUCUCCAACAACCACCCUUCCCUUUUGUGACCACCAGGAUGUUAACCUCUCCGACAUCAAGGAGCUCCAUCCAAGUCAGUUCAAGUCAAGCCCC